AAGAAGAAAAAAGUUAAUUG
rnacentral:snRNA from 1 species